rnacentral:rRNA from 1 species
CGAAAGCCUGACGGAGCAAGACCGCGUGAGGGAGGAAGGCUCUUGGGUUGUAAACCUCUUUUCUCAGGGAAGAAGCUCUGACGGUACCUGAGGAAUCAGCCUCGGCUAACUCCGUGCCAGCAGCCGCGGUAAUACGGAGGAGGCAAGCGUUAUCCGGAAUUAUUGGGCGUAAAGCGUCCGCAGGUGGCGAUUCAAGUCUGCUGUUAAAGACCGAAGCUCAACUUCGGGCAGGCGGUGGAAACUGCUAGACGAGAGGCCGGUAGGGGUAGAGGGAAUUCCCAGUGUAGCGGUGAAAUGCGUAGAGAUCGGGAAGAACAUCGGUGGCGAAAGCGCUCUACUGGACGGCAACUGACACUCAGGGACGAAAGCUAGGGGAGCG